GUGUGGUAGCGCAGGGCUGAAACCCAGGUCUCACCAACGACAAAGCAGUCACUGUAUAAGCCAGCUAUUUUGCUAGCCCAUCAGUUGCUUUCUUGCUCGUCUCAAAGAAAUGAACUGCUCCUCUUUCAUCCUAGAAUCCAUAUUACUUUGCAAACCGACCAGCAAGUGCUGCUAUUGUCACUGAAAAGAAAAAUGAGUAUACUAAGAACCUUCUCAAACAAAUAGAUGCCAAUAGUAAACUGGCCAAGAAAAAGAAAGAAAAUCAGAAAGUCUUGGAGCAACUAGAACGGCUGCAACUCAAACAAGACUCAGCCUGGGAUGAACAUUUCUCUCAAUUCCCAGUCCUGAGGAAAGAGAGUGUUUGGUUGCACUUGGCCUGAGGCUGAGCAUUUGAGUCAGGGAGGAGGUCAGGAGAGCAGUGAGGGAAACUGCUGUGGGGAAGACUCCCCCAAAUGGAGGAUUGAUGAACAAAAAGCUGAACUGAAGAAACAUCAAUUUGAGGAGAGAGAAAUGUAUAAGAAAGCACUGGAAUACCAGCUGAAACACAGGCCUUCCAGACUGCCCAUCUACGAGCCCAUGGGCACCUUCACCAACUUUGGGCAGAAUGAAAAGACCCUGGAGGCCGAGAAGCGGCAGAGAAAUAUUGAAUAUAUGAAGCAGCAGGUGGAAGCCGCUCUAGGCCACAGAAGACAGCGUGUCCUCAACCAAAUAAAAAAUCUGCAGCAAGAAAAAAAAAUGCUUCAGAAAAACCAAGAAAAGUAAGGGGCCUGGCCCUUCCUUCCUCACCAUAACCCUCUCCUCCUUUCUCUCCCUCUCCUCCCCCACCCCUUGACAACAACCUUAGUAGAAACAUGUGUGGACACGUGGAGAGUCAUGACUGACCCUAGCUCGCCCCAGCCUGCUUCUCAUCUCUACUCCCUAGUCAACUUCUGAGGCUGUUGCAUGUCACAAACCACCUUAUGGGAUGAGUAUAAAUACAAUAUGAGUAUAAAUACAAUAGUUUGCACAUGCAUAGCAUUUCUCAGUUUUCCACAUAACAAUGCAAACCGCACUAGAUGCUCUGUCAUCAUUUUUGGACAUGGACACUGCCCCCCCCCCC